rnacentral:rRNA from 1 species
AACGUUUGUUGGUCGUCAACUUCUUAGAGGGACUAUUGACUAUUAGUCAAUGGAAGUUUGAGGCAAUAACAGGUCUGUGAUGCCCUUAGAUGUUCUGGGCCGCACGCGCGCUACACUGAUCAAGUCAACGAGUUUACAACCUUGGCCGGAAGGUCUGGGUAAUCUUUUGAAACUUGAUCGUGCUGGGGAUAGUCCAUUGCAAUUAUUGGACUUCAACGAGGAAUUCCUAGUAAGCGUGAGUCAUCAGCUCGCGUUGAUUACGUCCCUGCCCUUUGUACACACCGCCCGUCGCU